rnacentral:rRNA from 1 species
GACGAACGCUGGCGGCGUGCUUAACACAUGCAAGUCGAACGGAAAGGCCCUGCUUUUGUGGGGUGCUCGAGUGGCGAACGGGUGAGUAACACGUGAGUAACCUGCCCUUGACUUUGGGAUAACUUCAGGAAACUGGGGCUAAUACCGGAUAGGAGCUCCUGCUGCAUGGUGGGGGUUGGAAAGUUUCGGCGGUUGUGGAUGGACUCACGGCUUAUCAGCUUGUUGGUGGGGUAGUGGCUUACCAAGGCUUUGACGGGUAGCCGGCCUGAGAGGGUGACCGGCCACAUUGGGACUGAGAGACGGCCCAGACGCCUACGGGAGGCAGCAGUGGGGAAUAUUGCACAGUGGGCGGAAGCCUGAUGCAGCAACGCCGCGUUCGGGAUGACGGCCUUCGGGUGGUAAACCGCUGUCGCCUGUGACGAAGCGUGAGUGACGGUAAUUGGUAAAGAAGCACCGGCUAACUACGUG